GAAGAGGUGGCAGCUCCUCAAGGAGGUAGCUCAGGAGAAGUGCAAGUUAGAGGCCUCGGAGGCAGAAGGUGCCGGGUGGGCUCACCCUGACCCAGACCUGGGGGACCUGGUGCAAGAUGGAUCCUGGGAAGCAUGGGAUGCACAUGCUUUGAGUCUUUUGUAGAGUGACUCACUUAAGGUAUUUUCAUAGACCCCACUCUCGUUCCCCCUACACAGGAUCUUCGUCUAAGAUGCCAGUUUAUUGCUUAAAUGAAUGUAUGUCUUUCCCAGCCCAACUGUUCUUUUUCCAGCUGUAAUCUGAGCGCCCCUGUGACUUCAGGUCUAGAAAAAUGUGAUUCUGCGCAAGAGGUGUACCUGGUGCUCCCUGAGUCACCUCUCCCUGAGCCUGUUUCAUUCUCUGCAAAAAGGAGGUUUGAGAUUGGAAGGUGUGAGCAGUGCCGGCAGCAGACACCUGUCUCAGCCACAUGCAGUGGGGGUGGGUUCAGACGCUCGAGACCAGUCACCGGGCAGGCUCUUCACAGUCAGGCCCCAGCGCAGCUUCCCAGCGUAGCCCCCCGCCACUCAUCACCGCGUGCACUCACACGUGCGUUCGUCCAGCAGCUACUGACCUGCUCUGUGCCAAGGACUGGUUCAGAUUCUAGGGCACAGCAGUGAACAGAAUGAAACCCAUCUCAUGGAGCUUUAGUGGGGACAGCUAGACAGG